AUAACAUUUUAAUUUAAAUCAUUCACACACGUCUCACGUUACUGUAUAUAGUUUGCACAGAUGUAAUGUAAGUUAAGUGUUUAUGUUGUAGUUGUAAUCUGCUGGUGGAGACGGUUUGUUUGAGGACCUUGAUCCAGAUGACGUCGCGGCGCUCGAUCGAGUGCAGUGGACGUACUACUCGUUUACAUCGACACACUGCAGACGCUGCGUCUACAGUUUAGCGUUAUCACGUCUCCGUACACUAUUGUAUGAAAGUAGUUUCCGAAUGAAACGCCGCGCACGUUUCGGUGGUUUGGAUGGUUAGCUACAUUAAACAAAAGAUUCCUAGUCACUACAACACAAUGUAAGCGCGCGUUAAGAGUACAGAUCGAUCGUUCCAACCGGUCGCCGGCCUGUCGUCACCAGCCCGUCGGCCUUCGUGGUGUGUCACUGUCGCUGAUUGGGAUCUAAGUGUUGACAGCAUCAGGGUUGACAGGUCAUUGUUUCUAUCAAAUCGGGAGCUGCUGAAUAAUUCAUUAGGAUCAAGCAUGGUCACGGGCAGACGAGAUGUGAGUGUCUGUCAGUGGGUCCUUGUUAUUUAUCAUCUACCGCCAUCGAUUUCUUAAUUUUCUAGCGCACCGCUCUGGAUGCCGGCAGAAUGCGCUGUCGGUGUCGCGAGGUCCUGCUGUGUGGUCACGAACAUGGGAUUUUAUAUUUUUAAGAAGGGAUUCAUACUAUUAUUCAUUUUAUUUGAAUAUGUUUUUGUAUAUGUACAUAAAACAAUUAUAAGGAUGACUUUAUAUAUUACAUGUGUUAAUUCCUAUCUUAAAUAAUAUAUCUAAUUUUAAUAUUAUAGUACAUACAAAUAAAUAUUUUGUUUUUAAAUAAAUCCUCUACAAAUAUUAGACUGUUGUAUCUGAAACGUGAGCGCCUCUUAUUUGUGAUAAUAAAACACGUGAAAUUUAUGUGGCGAUGCACACUCGUGGUUAGCGUUCGGUUUUUUUUAAUAUUAUUUAUUGAAGCACACAUUUUUAUAUUUCAGCACUUGUUUAUAAUAUAAAUAAUUCAAAAGUAUAUAUGUAAAAAUCUUAUGUUUUAUCUUUUCUUUUGUUUUUGAUAAAAACUCAGCAAUAUGUUAAGCAUGAACGACAUUUGUUGUAAAUGACAAUGGUCCUGACUGGUCUAACGAAAUGUCUAAUGAAUAUAGUUUCUUACUAAAGAAUAGUUAAUUAAGGGUUUGGUUUAAUUAAGACUAAAGCGUUGAUUACAAACAACUUAUUCCAAACUCCGAGGAGACAAAAAUGUAAACGACUUAUUUACUUUCGUUAAUGUAUCACACAUCUAUAUGUUGUAACACGUCCUGGUAAUCACAUUUUUUUAGUUAAAUCAAUAGACGUCGCGUCUUUUUAGUCUGUUAUUAAUGUAUGUGUGUAUAUUUAUAUUGUUCCAGUUUCAACCGCUGCGUACUUAGGUAUAUAAUACUUGCACCGUGCACAUAAUCUCCCUGCAAUAUAUCUAAGAUAGAACGUUCACAAA